UAGUAGGGGGCGUGGCUAGAGUUGAUGCAGGCAUCAAGGAUUGGUUGUGGGCGUGGCCUGGAGUUAUGUGGGCGUGGCUAAGGAUUGGUUGCGGGCAUGGCCUGUGGUUAUGUGGAUGUGGCUUUUUGUUGGGGGUGUGGCUUUUGUAGGGGGCGUGGCCUGGUGCAGGCACCAGGUGUUGGUUCUUGGUCGGAGUGGUUCUUGGUCGGAGGCGUGGCCUUCCGUUAUGUGGGCGUGGUCAGGGAGUCAGCUGUGGAAGUGGCUUCUUGUGGGGAGCGUGGCCUGUAGUUAAGUGGGCUGGCUUUUUGUAGGGGGGCGUGGCCUGAGAUGACGCAGACACCAGGGAUUGGUUGUGGGCGUGGCCAAGGGUUAUGUGGGCGUGGCCAUGGAGCGGUUGUGGGCGUGGCUUCGGUCACAGCCCGCAGAAAUCAAACUCCUCCUUCCAGGAAUUCGGAGUCAUGUUCAUUAGAUUUCAUUUGCAUGCAGACCCUCCCCCUCACGCCUGAGCGGUGGGAGGCGGGGGGUCUCCUCCUGGUGGUCGCGGGAUGAAGAAUCGCGGUCUUCCUCGCCGUGAUCUCCUGACCCUGCAGGAGGGGCAGCCCCCCACCCACGUUUUAUCGCCCCCUGCUGACGCCCUCGGGCUGUUCUCCAACUCCUGACGUUCCCUUCCCCUCCUUCUCUCAGCCCCAGUGCCUGCAGUCCCCAUUCUUCUAACAGCUCUGCACGUUUGCUUCUGUUAACUUAUCAUCUCCAGUUCCUGUGAAGCCCUUUCCUCGUCCUUUACUGUGGGGCCCUUCUCUCAUCCUGCACUCUGGUCCCCCCUUCUCUGGUUCCCCUCUCCAUGGUUUCUGUCCCCUCUGGUUUUCCUCUCUCUGGUUCCCAUCUCCAUGGUUCCCUUCUCUAUGGUUCCAGUCUCUAUGGGUUCCCCUCUCCAUGGUUCCCUUCUCUAUGGGUUCCCCUCUCCAUGGUUCCCUUCUCUAUGGGUUCUCCUCUCCAUGGUUCCCUUCUCUAUGGUUCCAGUCUCUAUGGAUUCCCUUCUCCAUGGUUCCCUUCUCUAUGGGUUCCCAUCUCCAAGGUUCCCUUCUCUAUGGUUCCAGACUCUAUGGGUUCCCCUCUCCAUGGUUCCCUUCUCCGUGGUUCCAGUUUCUAUGGGUUCCCAUCUCCAUGGUCCCCAUCUCCGUGGUUCUGCUCUCUCUGGUUCCCAUCUCCAAGGGUUCCCAUUUCCAUGGUUCCCUUCCCUAUGGUUCCCAUCUCCGUGGUUUCUGUCUCCAUGGUUCUCCUCUGUGGUUCCCCUCUCUCUGGUUCCCCUUUCUAUGGUUCCCAUCUCUCUGGUUCCAAUUUCCAUGAGUUCCCAUCU
rnacentral:lncRNA from 1 species